rnacentral:rRNA from 1 species
CCUACGGGAGGCAGCAGUGAGGAAUAUUGGUCAAUGGGCGCGAGCCUGAACCCGCCAAGUAGCGUGAAGGAUGACUUCCCUACGGGUUGUAAACUUCUUUUAUAAAGGAAUAAAGUGAGGCACGUGUGCAUUUUGUAUGUACUUUAUAAAUAAGGAUUGGCUAACUCCGUGCCAGCAGCCGCGGUAAUACGGAGGAUCCGAGCUUUAUCCGGAUUUAUUGGGGUUAAAUGGAGCGUAGAUGGGUUGUUAAGUCAGUUGUGAAAGUUUGCGGCUCAAACGGAAAAUUGCAAUUGAUAAUGGCAGUCGUGAGUACAGUUGAGGUAGGCGGAAUUCGUGGUGUAGCGGUGAAAUGCUUAGAUAUCACGAAGAACUCCGAUUGCGAAGGCAGCUUACUAAACUGCCACUGACAUUUAUGCUCGAAAGUGUGGGUAUCAAACAGGAUUAGAUACCCGAGUAGUC